AACACCUAUGAGUUGAGCUCGUAGAUAUUUUAAAUCCCCGGCCAAUUAUUUGGGCUGACAUCCUAAGUCUCUGCAUUUCAAACCCUUAUUAUUUUGCCUCAAAUUCUUUUUCCCAUUUCUCCGAUUUCCAAAUUCUCUCUUCGCAUUUCUCCAUUUCUCAAAUUCCCAAAUUCUCGUUCCGUGCCGCCGAUGUCCUGCUCUGCCACCGGUCGCCCUUGCUCUACCGCCGGACUAUUGCUUUGCCACCGGUCGCCCUUGCUCCGCCGCUGGUUUCCUGCUUCGCCAGCAACAGCUUUCAGCUUUCCUUCGUAGCAAGGUUUGCUGGAUUUUCUCCAAUUCGUCCGAUCACAUUUCUCUGAUUUUCUCUAGAUUUUCUUCGAAUUCAUAAACACACGCUGAGCUUACUUUUUGGAGCCAUUUUUCGCACUGCAGCUGUUGUUAUUUCAGUUGGCUAUGUAGUAAAAAAAUUGCAAAAGUGCGGACAAGCUAGAGUUAGACGGUACAUAAUUCAUAUAUCAGAACACUUUACUCUUCUACACAAUCUUUUAAUUCUACAUUGGAUAUUUCAUUACUCAAAUGUUCCUACUUGUAUCUGAGGUCAUGCUAAUUUUUAUGCAAUUGUUAAGCUGCUGAUACUUGGAUAAAUAGAUUGUGUGUAUGACUCGUUCCAUAAUAUACACACGCUCAAGGAUGGGUGGUAUACGUAUAAGAGAACUGCAAACGUUGAUGAAAUACGAGAGGAGUUGCGCUUAGAAUAACGACAAGAAAUACAUCAAUGCGCAUCUGAAGUAUUUUCUUGAUCCUAAACUUAGGAUAUGUUAAUACAGCAGGAAAUCAAAGAAUUGCGGGAGCUGGUAAAGGUCCUUAGUCAAAAAGUUCAAUAGAUGAGAAGAAGUGAAUAGAUUUAGCUUGCGUUAGGUUUUGACAUUUAUAUUUUCUAUUCUAGCUUCACGGUUUCUAAGUUGUGAAACCGUGGCUAGAUAGUUAUCAUUUUGGAAGAUUCAAAUCAUUUGUUUGGUUGUAAAAAAAUAGUUAUUUUUUAUUUUAUGUAAAAUUUGAAUUUUUUUA